UACGUAGGGUGCGAGCGUUAAUCGGAAUUACUGGGCGUAAAGCGUGCGCAGGCGGUCUGUUAAGACCGAUGUGAAAUCCCCGGGCUUAACCUGGGAACUGCAUUGGUGACUGGCAGGCUUUGAGUGUGGCAGAGGGAGGUAGAAUUCCACGUGUAGCAGUGAAAUGCGUAGAUAUGCGGGAGACACCGAUGGCGAAGGCAAUCCCCUGGGCCUGCACUGACGCUCAUGCACGAAAGCGUGGGGAGCAAACAGG
rnacentral:rRNA from 1 species